GAAAUACUGGCUGAAGAAACGUCCAACAGACCAGACCUGACUGACAAGCCCUGGCCAGGGGUGAAGACCUGGUUUACUGAUGGGAGCAGCUUCGUGAUUGAGGUAUUUAUAGAUACUUUUUCCGGAUGGGUCGAGGCAUUCCCAACCAAGAAGGAGACGGCUACUGUGGUGGCUAAGAAGAUAUUGGAAGAAAUCCUACCCAGGUUUGGGGUACCAAGGGUGAUUGGCUCAGACAAUGGGCCUGCUUUCAUCGCGCAACCCGACUGAAAGCCUUAGAGACUGUGAAAAAGGAAAUCUGGGGAACCAUAAAGAACUCCUAUGCUCCUAAAGAAGAUCCAGUACCACACCAGUUCGAGGUCGGAGACACUGUCCUAGUAAGGAGACAUCGGACGGGCAACCUUGAGCCACGGUGGAAAGGCCCGUACUUGGUCCUGCUGACAACCCCCACAGCAGUGAAGGUAGACGGCAUCGCUGCGUGGAUCCACGCCUCGCACGUGAAAAGAGCACCUCCGAACUCUCAUCAAGAUGAAUGGACUUUGGAGCGGACUGGUA